UGUGUGUGUGUGUGUGUGUGUGUGUGUGUGUGUGUACACACACACUCACUCACUCACUCACUCACACUCAAGGAAUACUCAAGGUGGAAACAAAUAGAUAGAGACAGACAGACAGACAGACAGACACACACACACACACACACACACACACACACACA